rnacentral:rRNA from 1 species
CGCACGGGUGAGUAACACGUAUCCAACCUGCCGUCUACUCUUGGACAGCCUUCUGAAAGGAAGAUUAAUACAAGAUGGCAUCAUGAGUCCGCAUGUUCACAUGAUUAAAGGUAUUCCGGUAGACGAUGGGGAUGCGUUCCAUUAGAUAGUAGGCGGGGUAACGGCCCACCUAGUCUUCGAUGGAUAGGGGUUCUGAGAGGAAGGUCCCCCACAUUGGAACUGAGAAACGGUCCAA